GACGAACGCUGGCGGCGUGCUUAACACAUGCGAGUCGAACGGAAAGGCCCUGCUUGCCGGGUACUCGAGUGGCGAACGGGUGAGUAACACGUGGGUGAUCUGCCCUGCACUUCGGGAUAAGCCUGGGAAACUGGGUCUAAUACCGGAUAGGAGCCAUUUUUAGUGUGAUGGUUGGAAAGUUUUUUCGGUGUAGGAUGAGCUCGCGGCCUAUCAGCUUGUUGGUGGGGUAAUGGCCUACCAAGGCGGCGACGGGUAGCCGGCCUGAGAGGGUGGACGGCCACAUUGGGACUGAGAUACGGCCCAGACUCCUACGGGAGGCAGCAGUGGGGAAGAUUGCACAAUGGGCGCAAGCCUGAUGCAGCGACGCCGCGUGGGGGAUGACGGCCUUCGGGUUGUAAACGCCUUUCGCUAGGGACGAAGCUUUUUGUGACGGUACCUAGAUAAGAAGCACCGGCUAACUACGUG
rnacentral:rRNA from 1 species